CCUACGGGUGGCAGCAGUAGGGAAUCUUCGUCAAUGGGCGCAAGCCUGAACGAGCAAUGCCGCGUGAACGAGGAAGGUCUUCGGAUCGUAAAGUUCUGUUGAAGGGGAAGAAGAGCGGAGAGAGGAAAUGCUUUCUGAUUGAUAUUACCCUUCGAGGAAGUCACGGCUAACUACGUGCCAGCAGCCGCGGUAAUACGUAGGUUGCGAGCGUUAUCCGGAAUGAUUGGGCGUAAAGGGUGCGUAGGCGGGCUGCUAAGUCUGGAGUGAAAGGUGCGGGCUCAACCGGGACAGGCUGUGGGAAAUGGCGGGAUAGAGGGCAGGAGAGGGCGGUGGAACUCCAUGGGUAGCGGUAAAAUGCGG
rnacentral:rRNA from 1 species